rnacentral:rRNA from 1 species
GCUUUACACAUGCAAGUCGAACGGCAGCAUGAUGUGUAUAUACGCAAGUAUGUAUAUAUUGAUGGCGAGUGGCGAACGGGUGAGUAAUACAUCGGGACAUGCCUAUUAGAGGGGGAUAACUAGUUGAAAGAUUAGCUAAUACCGCGUAAUCUCUGAGGAGGAAAGCUUGGGAUUUAGAGAUAGACCAGGCGCUGAUAGAUUGGCCGAUGGUCGAUUAGUUAGUUGGUGGGGUAAAGGCUUACCAAGGCGAUGAUCGAUAGCUGUUCUGAGAGGGAGAUCAGCCACACUGGGACUGAGACACGGCCCAGACGCCUACGGGAGGCAGCAGUGGGGAAUUUUGGACAAUGGGGGGAACCCUGAUCCAGCGACGCCGCGUGAAUGAAGAAGGCCUUAGGGUUGUAAAGUUCUUUUACCUGAGAGAAAUGCGAGGGGUUAAUAGCUUUUCGAGCUGAGAGUAUCAGGGGAAUAAGCACCGGCUAACUACGUGCCAGCAGCCGCCGUAA